AGUGAACGCUGGCGGCGUGGCUAAGACAUGCAAGUCGAGCGAUAGAUACCUUCGGGUAUCGAAAAGCGGCAAACGGGUGCGUAACACGUGAGCAACCUACCCUUAAGUUGGGGAUAGCCUACCGAAAGGUGGAUUAAUACCGAAUGUGGUCCUUCUUCGCAUGGAGAAGGUACUAAAACUUGUAACGGUGCUUAAGGAGGGGCUCGCGGCCUAUCAGCUUGUUGGUGAGGUAAUGGCUCACCAAGGCUAAGACGGGUAGCUGGUCUGAGAGGAUGACCAGCCACACUGGAACUGAGAUACGGUCCAGACACCUACGGGUGGCAGCAGUUUCGAAUCAUCCACAAUGGGCGAAAGCCUGAUGGUGCGACGCCGCGUGAGGGAUGAAGGCCUUCGGGUUGUAAACCUCUGUCAUUAAGGAGCAAAUGCUAGGUUCAUACCCUAGCUUGAGUUAACUUAAAGAGGAAGCAGUGGCUAACUCUGUGCCAGCCGCCGCCGUAAAAC
rnacentral:rRNA from 1 species